rnacentral:rRNA from 1 species
ACUUUUAACAAUAGAUCUCUUAGUUCUAGCAUUAAUAAAGAACGCAGUGAAAUGCAAUAAGUAGUGUAAAUUGUAGAAUUUAGUAAAUUAUUAAAUCUUUAAACGUAUAUUGCGCCCCUUAGUAUUCUAUAGGGCAUACCUAUUUAAGCGUUAUUUGUACCCUUAAGCUCUACUUAGUGUUAGGUGUUUGUUCUACUUAGGACUUGCCUUAAAACAAUUAGCAGCUAGCAUAUUAGCCUAGAGCGUAGCAUAUUUUGCGCCUCUUGUUAUAGUUAUUAGUAUCUAUUAAGAUACUUUUUAAGCUCUUAACCUUAGAUUAGGUAGGGAUACCUGCUAAACUUAAGCAUAUUAAUAAGCGGAGGAAAAGAAACUAAUAGGGAUUGCCCUAGUAACAGCGAGUAAAGCGGCAAUAGCUUAAAUUUAAAAUCUAGCUCUUUUAGGGUCUAAGUUAUAAUUUGCAGAGGGCGCUUUAGCGUUAGCAGCAGUCUAAGUUCCUUAGAAUAGGACGUUAUAGAGGGUAAGAAUCCUAUACGUAGUUGCUAGCCUUUGCUGUGUAAAGCCCCUUUAACAAGUUAAGUUAUUUAGGAAUAUAGCUCUAAAUAGGAGGUAAAUUUCUUCUAAAGCUAAAUACUAGCUAGAGACUAAUAGUAUAUAAGUAGAGUAAUUAAAAGAUAAAAAGCACUUUAGAAAGAGAGUUAAAUAGCACGUGAAAUUGUUAAAAGGGAAGCGCUUAUAGCUAGACUUGCCUAUAGUUACUUAUCUAGGCUUUUGUCUAGUGCACUCUUCUAUAGGCAGGCUAGUAUUAGUUUAGGUAGUUAGAUAAAGGUCUCUAUUAUAUACCUCCCUUUAGGGAGGCCUUAUAGGGGAGAUAACAUGCAACUAGCCUAGACUAAGGUCUACGUAUCUGCUAGGAUGCUAGCGUAAUAGCUGUAAGCGGCCUAUUUUAAAAUAUAGACUAAGGAGUCUAAUAUCUAUAUAAGUAUUUAGGUGUUAAGCCUAGACGCGUAAUAAAAGUAAAUAGAGGUAGGACCCCUUUUAGGGUGCACUAUUAACUAAUCCUAAUAUCUUUAGAAGGAUUUAAGUAAGAGCAUAGCUAUUAGGACCUAAAAGAUAGUAAACUAUGCUUAAAUAGGGUGAAGCUAGAGGAAACUCUAGUAAAGGCUCGCAGCAGUUCUAACGUGCAAAUUAAUUGUUAAAUUUAGGUAUAGGGGCGAAAGACUAAUUAAACUAUCUAGUAGCUAGUUCCUGCUAAAGUUUCCCUUAGGAUAGUAGUAACGUAUUUAGUUUUAUAAGGUAAAGCGAAUAAUUAGAGGCCUAGGGGUUAAAAUAACCUUUACCUAUUCUUAAACUUUAAAUAUAUAAGAAGUCCUUAUUACUUAAUUAAACGUAGACACUUAAAUAUACUAUUACUAGUAGGCUAUUUUUAGUAAGCAGAACUAGUAAUGCAGGAUAAACUAAACGCAGGGUUAAGGUGCUAGAAUACACGCUUAUUAGACACUACAAAAGGUGUUAGUUUAUCUAGAUAGCAGGACAGUAGCUAUAGAAGUUAGAAUCUACUAAGGAGUGUGUAACAACUUACCUACUAAAUAAACUAGCCCUAAAAAUAAAUAGCGCUUAAGCGUGUUACCUAUACCCCGCCGCUAGGGCAAGAUUUAAGCCCUAGCAAGUAGGUAGGCGUAGAGGCUUGUGACAAAGCCUUAGGGGUAACCCUAGGUAGAAUAGCCUCUAGUAUAGAUCUUAGUAGUAGUAGCAAAUACUUAAAUAAGAACUUUAAGGACUAAAGUAGGGAAAGGUUCUGUGUGAAUAGCAGUUAGACACAGGUUAGUUAAUCCUAAGAGAUAGGGUAAUUCUGUUUUAAUAUUAGCGCUUACGCCACGCCCUUAAAAGGGAAGCUAGUUAAUAUUCUAGCACCUAGAUAUAGAUUCUCCGCGGCAACGCAACUAAGAGCGGAGACCUUAGCAGGAGCCCUAAGAAGAGUUCUCUUUUCUUCUUAACAGUCUGUUACCCUAAAAUUAGUUUGUCUAGAGCUAGGGUUUAAUAGCUAGAAGAGUGCUACACUUUUAUAGUAUUUAGUGCGCUCCUAACAAGCCUUAAAAAUCUACUUAAAGAAAUAGUUUUUACGCUAGGUUGUACUUAUAACUGUAGUAGGUCUCUAAGGUAAAAAGCCUCUAGUUAAUAGAAUAAUAUAGAUAAGGGAAGUUAGCAAAAUAGAUCUAUAACUUUAGGAAAAGGAUUAGCUCUAAGGGUUAGGUACGUUAGGCCUUAGGGAGAAGCCUCUAGCGCAGAAGGGCACUAACCGCAAGGUAGGCGCCUCUUAGCGCUAGGGUGCAGACACCCUUAGUAGGUUUUAGCUGUCUAGCGUACGUUUAACAACUAACUUAGAACUAGUAUAGAUAAGGGGAAUCUAACUAUCUAAUUAAAAUAUAGCAUUGCAAUAGCUAGAAAGUAGUAUUAACGCAAUGUAAUUUCUGCCUAGUGCUCUGAAUGUCAAAGCGAAGAGAUUCGACCAAGCGCCGGUAAACGGCGGGAGUAACUAUGACUCUCUUAAGGUAGCCAAAUGCCUCGUCAUCUAAUCGGUAACGAGUAUAAAUAGAUGAGCAAGAUUCCUACUGGCCCUAUCUACUAUCUAGCGAAACCACAGCCAAGGGAACGGGCUUGGCCAAAUCAGCGGGGAAAGAAGACCCUGUUGAGCUUGACUCUAGUUUGACAUUGUGAAAAGACAUAGGGGGUAUAGAAUAGGUAGGAGCUUUAGCGCUAGUGAAAUACUACUACCCUUAUCGUUUUUUUACUUAUUUAAUAAAGCAGAGCUAGGCCUUACUACCUAACUUCUAGCGUUUAAGGUCCUUUAUAGGCUAAUCUAGGUUAAAGAUAUUGUUAGGUAGGGAGUUUAGCUAGGGCGGCACAUCUAUUAAACUAUAACGUAGGUGUCCUAAGGGGGACUUAUAGAGAAUAGAAAUCUCUAGUAGAGUAAAAGGGCAAAAGUCCCCUUAAUUUUAAUUUUUAGUGUGAAUACAAACUAUAAAAGUGUAGCCUAUUAAUCCUUUAGUCCCUUAAAAUUUGAGGCUAGAGGUGCUAGAAAAGUUACCACAGGGAUAACUAGCUUGUGGCAGCCAAGCGUUUAUAGCAACGUUGCUUUUUAAUCCUUUAAUAUUAGCUCUUCCUAUUAUACUAAAGUAGAAUUUAGUAAGCGUUAGAUUAUUCACCUACUAAUAGGGAACGUAAGCUAGGUUUAGACUGUCGUAAGACAGGUUAGUUUUACCCUACUAAUAACCUUGCCCUAAUAGUAAUACCGCUUAGUACGAGAGGAACCGCGGUUUUAGAUAAUUGGUUUUUGCAGCUGUCUAACUAGGUAUUGCCGCGAAGCUACUAUCUACUAGAUUAUAGCUAAACGCCUCUAAGUUAGAAUCUAUGCUAGAAUAGGGUAAUUUCCGCCUGCACUAGUUAGAUAUAAAUAGGCCUUUGGCCCAGAACCUUACUAGAUUAGCGUUGGCAGCCCUAUUAAAGUUAGGGUUGUUAGCUAGUGUAUUGCAAUUGUACAGUGCGCAGGAUUAAAUCCUUUAUAGAUAACUUAGUUAUCUAGCUAGGUCGUGUAAGUAGUUAAGUAGCCUUGUUGUUACAAGCUACUAAGCGUAAGCCUGUUGCUAGCUUAGUUAAAAUUAGGAUAUUAUGCCCUCCUUAUUUGCAAAACUGCUGCCUAAACGGCUGCUAUUAAUAGAAGGAAGAGGGCUAUAGCGAACAAGUUAUAUAGUAAUUGCAAGAUAGAGAGGGCUAGAGCUAGGAGCAAUCCUUGCAAAAUAUACAAAAGAACAGGUUAUGUGUGUACGUACCUUAGGUAGUUAAUAUAUAGCAUAGGAAGAUUAAGAAAGGAUUUAAGAUAAUCUAUAUAGAUUUUUAGGCAGUGAUCUAUAACUUAAGAGUGUUCUAUAACUUUUUAUUUUUUAGGGGUAGUGUUCUAUAACUUUAGGGCGUUCUAUAACUUUAGGGCGUUCUAUAACUUUAGGGCGUUCUAUAACUUUAGGGCGUUCUACAACUUUUUAUUUUUUAGGGGGAGUGUUCUAUAACUUUAGGGCGUUCUAUAACUUUUUAUUUUUUCAAGGUAGUGUUCUAUAACUUUAGGGCGUUCUAUAACUUUAUGGCGUUCUAUAACUUUAGGGCGUUCUAUAACUUUAUGGCGUUCUAUAACUUUUUAUUUUUUAGGGUUAGUGUUCUAUAACUUUAGCGCGUUCUAUACCUUUUAUUUAUUCUAUUACUUUAGUCCUUUCUAUAACUUUAGACUAUUCUAUACUAGUAGCUAUUAUAUCCUUUUUAUAAUACUUAUUAUAUCAUACUAUUAUCUAUUAUUCUUUACUAUUAAGUAUAUCCUUAUAUUUUAUAAAACCUUUUCUCUACUAGCUAGUCCUACUAUACUUUCUUUUAUAACCUACUAGUAUUAAAUAAUACCUUUAUAUUCUUCUUUUAGACUAUCUCUAUUUCUUGCCUUAUCUAUUAAGUAGAUAUAGAUAGAGCUAAUAGAUCUAUAGUUAAUAUAGAUACAGUAGUUAUAGUAGAGUAUAGAUAUUAGAGUAGAUAUCCUUAUCUAUAUAUUUACCUACUACUAAUAAAAUUCUAAGUUACUCUUAUCCAGCAAAUACAGGUUUAUGGUUUGUAUAGGGCUGCGCAUGUCUACACAGUUUUACAUACAAAAAAGUGUACCUCUAAGCUAUUUUCCACUACACUAACCCUACGACGCAAAAAUUAAACUAAAACCUGUUCCUAUAAUAUAUAAGGAGGGCAAAUAGAUUCUUAAAUACUAAAUACCUAACUAACUAACUAAGGUUAAAUCUACUACGCGCAGUUCUUGGAUUAGGCAGUUAAACUAGCGUCGUUAGGCACUAAGGGGGCAAUUUUUGCUUGUGUCUACGUCUAUACUCCCUAUAACUCCCUAUUAUUAGCGCUCUACGCCUAUUUUAGCGGUAGUUAGACUAAAUUUAAAAGUUUUGGUUUUAUAAUAGCUAGCCUUGUUUCCUAGAUUUCUGCCUGGUUUAGAUUCGCUCUAAUUAGUAGGUAAUUAGGGGCUUAGAGAUUACUCUUCUACUUAACUAGGCAGGCCUAGGCCUAUAUACUAAAGCAACCCUGCUAUUGCGCCUAGUUUUGUGGUUGGCACCUAAAGUCCUACUGUUAAAGUUUUAGCAGUAGGCAAAAUUUAGGGUCUAUAGAUGGCUAGCACUACUAAACUAUUUAAUAGAUCUUAGGGGACAGCCCUGCCUAGCAUCUGCUCCUAGUGAGCGUAGUAAAGCGUAGGUUUUCUCUACUUAAGGCAUGUAUGUGGCGAGUUUAAACACGCAGAAACGCCUGUUAGGCUUUGUUAUAGACUAUUCCUUAAGAAACUUAGUAGAGGCAAUUAAAUUAGUUGCUAGUUAUAACUAGUGCCUUAUGUGCUAUUAUGCUAGUAGCUAGAAUCGCUUCUGCGAUUUCUUAUCACGUACUUUCCACCUCCUUUUAGGGGUAGUAGCUUAUACGCUUUAGCGUAUUAGGCAUUAGGAUUGUUACCUAGUUAAUUCUGCUAGUAGUUAUAUACUUAUCUUAAAGAUUAAGCUAUAUAUGUCUAAGUAUAAGCAAUUAUACUGUGAAACUGCAAAUAGCUUAUUAAAUCAGUUAUCGUUUAUUUAAUAGUACCUUACUACUUAGAUAACUAUAGUAACUCUAGAGCUAAUACAUACUAAAAACCCUAACUUUAGAAGGGGUGUAUUUAUUAGAUAAAAAACCAACGCCCUUUAGGGCUUCUUAGUAAUUUAUAAUAACUUUAUAGAUCGCAUAGCCUUGCGCUAGCAACAGUUUAUUCAAAUUUCUGCCCUAUUAACUUUU